UAAAGGUUGGACAGCAGCACAAAUAUGAAAAAGUACAUCUUUUUUCCCUUUCUAUAUUGAUUCAAUGAGUAAAUUACGAGUAGAUUAUUUCAUAUUGUCAGUUACGUAUUUUAAUCCUUGAUAGCAAGUCAUUGAGUUUUCUUUCUUUUCUUUUUUUUUUUCUUUUUCUUUUUCUUUUCUUCUGGUAUUGAUGAUGAUAAGUAGUAAAAUAAAAAACCCUGCUUUUUUCUGGACCUUAAUCUAUCAAAUAUUUGGUCCUACUAAUAUUUAUGUAUAUAUGGUCAAAGGAUAAAAGAACUCUUGGCCUUAGGACCAUAAUGUCGGAUCAAAUAAUUCAAUGCUGGCAGUUAACUUGGUCCUAGUGUUUUACCAAUUACUAUAAUAACAUCUUUUACUUUUAAAAGCUUCUUGCUUUGCUUUUUCUGACUUUAGCUCCCAAAGUCUCCAAUUUUUUGAGCUCUCUUAAUUCUCAUUAAAAAAUCUCUCUCCUCAAAAGCUAAUUUAUUUUCGAACCAUAUAUAGUACAUAACCAACUUACAACAUAGUGACACAUAAGAAUUUUCUUUUUCUUUUUUAUUAGGGUGUGACUAUCAUCACAAAUGCCUGGACUGAUGCUAGACAUUCUGUGAAUCAAAUCUAUGACAUCCUUUACAUGAUGGGGCGCGAUGAUAUCGCUGUUAGAGUUGGCGGCGAAGGUGGAAUACUAAAAGAUGGUACCAUUCUUCCUAAUGUUGGUGGAUAUCUUCCCAUAAUAGAACAGACAUGAGCUCAUUGAUUGCCUUCUACAUGUUUGAUUUUUGUUUUUCCUCAUAAAAAAACCUAGUACAUUGCCAUAACAUGUAUAUCAUACAAUCUCAGUUAAAAGCCACUCUAAUUUGUGUUUAGUUUAUGUAUGUCAGGGUGUUACAACCACUGGGGGAUGUAGAUAUAGACAAGCUAUCCCAGUAGGUAUUGGAGGUCGUCUGGAUGUUGAUACAAAUUUUGGCAUUAGAAAAGCUUUUCUUCCUCAGGUAUAUUGAGAUGAUUUCUUUGGAGCAAUUCUUGACAACAUUUGUAGUUGAGGCCUUUAGAAUGGAAGAAUGUAUUUCACUAAUUUUUGUAUACAUUUCUUGUUUUGUAUUUAGUGAUAAAGGAAUCUGAAUUGGGCAUAAAUUAUGUUGUAAUAUGAUUUCUUAAGCCUAGACUAGUAGACUAAAUAUUGUAAUUACAUUUGAGUAAUUAAUAAAAAUCUAUUUAUGUUA